UUAUUUAAAAUUGAUUUACAAAAUAGUUUUUAAAAACUAAAAAAUAAAAACGAAAUCAAAGAGGCCCCAAGUUUCUUGUUUCUGAUUUUAUGCUCACUUGUAUCGUAGUUUACUAUUCCGUCUACCCUUUCACCCAAAAUCUCCAAAACCAUUCGACUUUGCCAUUACCCAACACCACCGUCCUUCACCUUCCGGCGCCGUUUUCCGGCAACCAACCACCGUCCUUCCUUCUUUCUCAAUCGUUUAGUUCUGGUUCGUCUCUGUUCAUCUUUAUUUUGUGAAGGAGGGAGGAGAAGGGAUUUUUUUCAAAAAUUGUACUUGACUUUUUCUCUUAUUUGAGAUUGAUUUUCAUGUGGUUUUUGCACUGUAGCCUUGAAAUCGUGAAUUGCAAUUGAUCUUUUUCAAAGAAUCUUGAUUAUAAUGAAUAAAUUAUUAAUGUUUUUGCAAGAAAAAAUAUAAUGAUCACGAGCUUUUAUUUUUAAAGUUCGCCUAGGGCACCAAAUAUCUUAGGACUUGCCCUGUAUAUAUAUAUAUAUGUGUGUGUAAUUGAGUUUAGGCCGGCCUUAUGCCGUUUAUCACUAGGAUGAUCUGCCAUAAACUAUUGAGAGCUGUUUGAUACCUAUAUGUUAGCUAUGUGCUUUUUGUGACUAACUGUAUACUUGCUACUUGAAAUACUUGACUUUGUGAUGUUAUUGUUUAGUUAGGAAGACUGAUAUGCCUAAAUGAGAUAUCACAAAUGAUUGCGUGAGAUAAGG
rnacentral:lncRNA from 1 species